UCGAGCGAGCGGUUUCAUGAAGUUUUCGGAUGGAUUUGAAAUUGACUUAGCGGCGGACGGGUGAGUAACGCGUGGGUAACCUGCCUUACACUGGGGGAUAACAGUUAGAAAUGACUGCUAAUACCGCAUAAGCGCACAGGGCCGCAUGGUCUGGUGUGAAAAACUCCGGUGGUGUAAGAUGGACCCGCGUCUGAUUAGGUAGUUGGUGGGGUAACGGCCCACCAAGCCGACGAUCAGUAGCCGACCUGAGAGGGUGACCGGCCACAUUGGGACUGAGACACGGCCCAAACUCCUACGGGAGGCAGCAGUGGGGAAUAUUGGACAAUGGGCGAAAGCCUGAUCCAGCGACGCCGCGUGAGUGAAGAAGUAUUUCGGUAUGUAAAGCUCUAUCAGCAGGGAAGAAAAUGACGGUACCUGACUAAGAAGCCCCGGCUAACUACGUGCCAGCAGCCGCGGUAAUACGUAGGGGGCAAGCGUUAUCCGGAUUUACUGGGUGUAAAGGGAGCGUAGACGGUUAAGCAAGUCUGAAGUGAAAGCCCGGGGCUCAACCCCGGUACUGCUUUGGAAACUG
rnacentral:rRNA from 1 species